rnacentral:rRNA from 1 species
CUGAAGGCCCCUCGGAGACUACGAGGUUGAUAGGUCGGAGGUGUAAGUGCGGUAACGCAUUUAGCUGACCGAUACUAAUUGGCCGUGAGGCUUGACCAUAUAAACCACAGGGUUACU